AGAUAGAUCAUGGACUGUACCAACGAAAUGGAUUGGUUCCCUGGGGGGGGAGAGGAGCGGUGGAAUUCGCUGUGGAUUUCUUUGGAUCGCAUAUUUCCAGGUUGUGCUUGAUCCAUCAGCUUGCUUGAUAUUGAUGAUGAUAUUCGUUUUGCAGUUCCUUAGGAUUUCAAUUUUUUCGGCUGGGGGUGGCGUUUUGCGGUCGUACACAUUUUUUAUAGCUUGUGUGUCAUGUCAGAGGAUUUUCGUAUCUUUUUCAGGGGCUCUUAGGGCCAAGGCUGGUGUUGAGGUUACCCGUAGAUAUGUUGUCCAUGUGUUCUGUAACUCUGUCCUUAAAAUUUCGAGCUGUA
rnacentral:lncRNA from 1 species